UACGUAGGGAGCAAGCGUUGUUCGGAUUUACUGGGCGUAAAGGGCGCGUAGGCGGCUUUGCAAGUGACGGGUGAAAUCCCUCGGCUUAACCGAGGAACUGCCUGUCAGACUGCAUGGCUUGAGACCAGGAGAGGUGAGUGGAAUUCCCAGUGUAGCGGUGAAAUGCGUAGAUAUUGGGAGGAACACCGGUGGCGAAGGCGACCGCCUGGACGAUGACUGACGCUGAGGCGCGAGAGCGUGGGGAGCAAACAGG
rnacentral:rRNA from 1 species